CCCCUAGAUGUUCUGGGCCGCACGCGCGCUACACUGAACAGUUCAACAAGUCUUAACCUUGGCCGAUAGGUCUGGGUAAUCUUUGAACGCUGUUCGUGAUUGGGAUAGACCUUUGCAAUUAUGGGUCUUCAACGAGGAAUUCCUAGUAAACGCUAGUCAUCAGCUUGCAUUGAUUACGUCCCUGCCCUUUGUACACACCGCCCGUCGCACCUACCGAUUGAAUGGUCCGGUGAAAUCUCGGGACGGCGGCUUGGUCGCUUGCGUCCGACUGCUGAAACUUGAUUAAACCAUAUCAUUUAGAGGAAGGUGAAGUCGUAACA
rnacentral:rRNA from 1 species